rnacentral:rRNA from 1 species
CCUACGGGCGGCAGCAGUGAGGAAUAUUGGUCAAUGGACGCAAGUCUGAACCAGCCAUGCCGCGUGCAGGAAGACGGCUCUAUGAGUUGUAAACUGCUUUUGUACGAGGGUAAACGCAGAUACGCGUAUCUGUCUGAAAGUAUCGUACGAAUAAGGAUCGACUAACUCCGUGCCAGCAGCCGCGGUAAUACGGAGGAUUCAAGCGUUAUCCGGAUUUAUUGGGUUUAAAGGGUGCGUAGGCGGUCGGAUAAGUUAGAGGUGAAAUCCCGAGGCGCAACUUCGGAAUUGCCUCUGAUACUGGUCGGCUUGAGAGUAGUUGCGGUAGGCGGAAUGUAUGGUGUAGCGGUGAAAUGCUUAGAGAUCAUACAGAACACCGAUUGCGAAGGCAGCUUACCAAGCUACUUCUGACGUUGAGGCACGAAAGCGUGGGGAGCAAACAGGAUUAGAUACCCUUGUAGUC